GACCUGCACACCUCCCAUGUAUAACAUUCUCUUUCUACUCUCUCCUUCUUAGGAGCUGUUCUGCAUCCGUGGAGUUGAAAGGGUUUAUGGCUCAUAAAAAGAACUGACAAGCUGUAUUUCAUGAGGAUUCACUUGGAUUUCUGUCCCUGCCACCCUAAUGCUCACCAGAACAGAGAGCCCUGCAGCAUUUCUGGGCAGUGGGAAAAUGCAAUUAUCUCACCCUACAAAGGGAAGGACACAAGGCAGAGUCACUCACCCAAAUUCCUACAGGCAGCCAGCAGCUCACCCUGUUCAGUGCCCUACCCACUCAACUCCUCCCUGGAGGAACAAGCUCCUGACACCAGUGGCAGAAAACAGAUCCACUUUCCAGUACAGAGUUAAGAGAGGGAUUUGCCCUUCGUCUGUAAACCAGGACUUGGAAGAGCACUCAAAGUUUUAUUGAUUUUGAUCUACAAGAGGCAUGAUCACCCAUAAAGUAACAAAAAGCCCUUGAGGAAAAGCUCAGAGAUCAGCAAUGGGGAUAAUACUUAUUAAAAAUGAUGAAAGACCUCAUUAAUUAAUUGGAGAUGAAUCUACAAUACCUGAAUAUUCACUAUUUAUUUCUCAUGUCUGUUUCUUUUAACUUCUUGUUUAAUUUAUAUUUCUACAAGGCAACUCAUUAUCACAUUCUUUAUAAAAUAUAUAUUACAAAAACUCUCAAACCACUCUAAACAACUUCUUUUUGCUGAGUAGUGAUCAAAGAAUAUACAUCAUUAAAACAACCUUUUUACCUGCUGUAUUUAUGUUUGGGUUUUAUAAUUCACUCUCAGCUCAGUGUUCCUGUGUGCAGGAAGUGAGAUCAUCACAGUGAAAGCAGAGAAUAUUAAUGACUCAAAGACUAAUAGGCUAAUUGCUUAUGGGAUACUGAGCCAGAAGCCUCAGGUAUCAAAUGGCUUUUCAUUUAAUACUGGCAGAGACAGAAUGAUAAGCAUGGAGAUUG
rnacentral:lncRNA from 1 species